CCUACGGGUGGCAGCAGUGAGGAAUAUUGGUCAAUGGGCGGGAGCCUGAACCAGCCAAGUCGCGUGAGGGAAGACGGUCCUAUGGAUUGUAAACCUCUUUAGGCGGGGAGCAAUGCCGGGCACGCGUGCCCGGAGGGAGAGUACCCGCAGAAUAAGCAUGGGCUAACUCCGUGCCAGCAGCCGCGGUAAUACGUAGGUGGCAAGCGUUAGCCGGAUUUACUGGGUGUAAAGGGCGUGUAACCGGGCUGUCAAGCAGGUUGUGAAAUCCGGGGGCUCAACCGCCGAACUGCAUUUGAAAUUGGUGGUCUUGAGGAUCGUAGAGGCAGGCGGAAUUCCUGGUGUAGCGGUGAAAUGCGUAGAUAUUAGGAGGAACACCAGGGGCGAAGGCGGCCUGCUGGACGACAACUGACGGUGAGGCGCGAAAGCGUGGGGAGCAAACAGGAUGAGAUACCCCAGUAGUC
rnacentral:rRNA from 1 species